CAAAAACAUCGCCUCUUGCAUAAAACGAAUAAGAGGUCCCGCCUGCCCAGUGACUACAAGUUCAACGGCCGCGGUAUUUUGACCGUGCGAAGGUAGCGUAAUCAUUUGUCUUUUAAAUUAAGACCAGUAUGAAAGGUGAGACGAGGGCUUAGCUGUCUCCUCCCUCCAGUCAAUGAAAUUGAUCCCCCCGUGCAGAAGCGGGGAUUUUAACAUAAGACGAGAAGACCCUGUGGAGCUUUAGACACUCGGGCAGACUAUGUCAAGUACCCCUAAUAAAGGUGAAAACAGAGUAUGCUACUGUCCCAAUGUCUUCGGUUGGGGCGACCAUGGGGAAAUAAGAAACCCCCAAAGUGGAAUGGAAACAGACCCUUUUCUACAACUGAGAGUACCCCCUCUAGCUAACAGAACUUCUGACCACCAAGACCCGGCAAGGCCGAUCCACGGACCAAGUUACCCCAGGGAUAACAGCGCAAUCCCCUUUUAGAGACCCUAUCGCCAAGGGGGCUUACGACCUCGAUGUUGGAUCAGGACAUCCUAAUGGUGUAACCGCUAUUAAGGGUUCGUUUGUUCAACGAUUAAAGUC
rnacentral:rRNA from 1 species